AGGAUUGAGGCGUUGGAAGAGACCUUUAGAACAGCUGGUCAUUAUGCUGACCAGGUGUCUGCACUAAGUUUGGCAUCAGUAUGGUGACCUCCUGGAAGUGGGGGCCACCAGGUUGCCUAAGGAAGGGUGAACUGGCCCAGAUCAGAAAGGGAGCAGGUCAGAACUCCCACACCGAUUGGUAGUGGGACUGUGCCUGGACAGUAUAGCAAGAUCUUGGUUCUU
rnacentral:sRNA from 1 species